rnacentral:rRNA from 1 species
CCUACGGGGGGCUGCAGUGGGGAAUAUUGCGCAAUGGGCGAAAGCCUGACGCAGCGACGCCGCGUGAGGGAUGAAGGUCUUCGGAUCGUAAACCUCUGUCAGCAGGGAAGAACGGUCACUGUGCUAAUCAGCAGUGAAUUGACGGUACCUGCAAAGGAAGCACCGGCUAACUCCGUGCCAGCAGCCGCGGUAAUACGGAGGGUGCGAGCGUUAAUCGGAAUUACUGGGCGUAAAGCGCUCGUAGGCGGUAUGUCAAGUCAAGGGUGAAAUCCCCGCGCUCAACGUGGGAACUGCCUUUGAAACUGGCAAACUGGAGUGGGUGAGAGGAUAGUGGAAUUCCAGGUGUAGGAGUGAAAUGCGUAGAUAUCUGGAGGAACAUCAGUGGCGAAGGCGACUAUCUGGCACAUAACUGACGCUGAGGAGCGAAAGCGUGGGUAGCAAACAGGAUUAGAUACCCGAGUAGUC